CGCACGAACCAAAGAAUAAUCAUAUACACAUAUUCACCAAGGGAGACUCGAACCUGCCAGCAUAUAUCAAAGGUGACUUAAGCUCAUAAUCAUUUAACAUGAGGUACUCGAACCUCCCAAUCACAUAAUAAAGGGACUUGAACUACCCGAUUAUUUAGACCCCCGCAUCGGUAAUCGCAGUUUUAUUCAUCCCUCGGGACCUCUACUUUCACAUCCCGAC
rnacentral:lncRNA from 1 species